ensembl:lncRNA
GAAUGUCAUGUACCAGUGUUAAGAGUGGCAUGUACCAGUGUUAAGAGUGGAAUGUACCAGUGUAAAGAGUGGAAUGUACCAGUGGAAAGAGUGGAAUGUACCAGUGUUAAGAGUGUUAAGAGUGGAAUGUACCAGUGUUACGAGUGGCAUGUGCCAGUGUUACGAGUGGAAUGUACCAGUGUAAAGAGUGGAAUGUACCAGUGUAAAGAGUGGAAUGUACCAGUGUUAAGAGUGUUAAGAGUGGCAUGUACCAGUGUUAAGAGUGUUAAGAGUGGCAUGUACCAGUGUUAAGAGUGGAAUGUACCAGUGUAAAGAGUGGAAUGUACCAGUGUAAAGAGUGGAAUGUACCAGUGUUAAGAGUGGCAUGUACCACUGUUAAGAGUGUUAAGAGUGGAAUGUACCAGUGUUACGAGUGGCAUGUGCCAGUGUUACGAGUGGAAUGUACCAGUGUUACGAGUGGAAUGUACCAGUGUUAAGAGUGGCAUGUACCACUGUUAAGAGUGUUAAGAGUGGAAUGUGCCAGUGGCCCGAGUGGCAUGUACCAGUGUUAAGAGUGGAAUGUACCAGUGUUAAGAGUGGCAUGUACCACUGUUAAGAGUGUUAAGAGUGGAAUGUGCCAGUGGGCCGAGUGGCAUGUACCAGUGUUACGAGUGGCAUGUACCAGUGUUACAAGCGGCAUGUACCAGUGUUAAGAGUGUUAAGAGUGGAAUGUACCAGUGUAAAGAGUGGCAUGUACCAGUGUAAAGAGUGGAAUGUGCCAGUGUAAAGAGUGUUAAGAGUGGCAUGUACCAAUGUUAAGAGUGGAAUGUACCAGUGUAAAGAGUGGAAUGUACCAGUGUAAAGAGUGGAAUGUGCCAGUGUAAAGAGUGGAAUGUGCCAGUGUUACGAG